rnacentral:lncRNA from 1 species
ACACUUGUAAACUUCAUUACAUUAAUCGAGUUAGUCCACAAGACUUUUAUCCCAUCUUAUUAAUCCAUUCAUAAUAGUUUAAACCUCGAUAGAAUAGGUUCUGUGGUUAAAUUAUCAUAAAAAUAAAGGUCAUUAUAUUUAGAGUUGUAGGGAUCAUACUUUAAGUUUUUACAAGUGGCCUUUUUUGUCAACUCCUAUAUCAGUUUUGGCAAUUAUCUUAGGUUUAGUUAGCUUGCUCUCAAACUUUUUAUCUUAGCACCCCCAAGCAUCACUU